CUGGAAUGAUGCGAAUUAGCCAAAUCAGACGUUGAUGUGCUCCAUAAUUCUGUUUUAUGUUGAAGCGCAUAAUCAAUGUGUGAUGAUCAUCAACGGAGAUUGGUGUAUCUGUUUCCUGACUAGA